rnacentral:rRNA from 1 species
AUUGAACGCUGGCGGCAGGCCUAACACAUGCAAGUCGAACGAGUGGCGGACGGUUGCGUAAUGUCUGGGAAACUGCCUGAUGGAGGGGGAUAACUACUAGAAACGGUAGCUAAUACCGCAUACCCUCAGAUAUGCACAGAUGGGAUUAGCUUGUUUGUGGGGUAACGGCUCACCCAGGCGACGAUCCCUAGUUGGUCUGAGAGGAUGACCAGCCACACUGGAACUGAGACACGGUCCAGACUCAUACGGUAGGCAGCAGUGGGGAAUAUUGCACAAUGGGCGCAAGCCUGAGGCAGCCAUGCCGCGUGUAUGAAGAAGGCCUUCGGGUUGUAAAGUACGUUCAGCGGGGAGGCGUUACCCGCAGAAGAAGCACCGGCUAACUCCGGGCCAGCAGCCGCGGUAAUUC